GACAGAGGGUGCAAACGUUGUUCGGAAUUACUGGGCGUAAAGCGCGUGUAGGCGGCUCGGCAAGUCGGGUGUGAAAGCCCUGGGCUUAACCUAGGAAGUGCACUCGAAACUGCCAAGCUUGAGUUCUGGAGAGGAAGGCGGAAUUCUCGGUGUAGCGGUGAAAUGCGUAGAUAUCAAGAGGAACACCUGAGGUGAAGACGGGUUGCUGGGCUGACACUGACGCUGAGGCGCGAAAGCCAGGGGAGCAAACGGG
rnacentral:rRNA from 1 species